rnacentral:rRNA from 1 species
UUAGUGGCGGACGGGUGAGUAACACGUGGAAAACCUGCCGUAUACUGGGGGAUAACACUUAGAAAUAGGUGCUAAUACCGCAUAAGCGCACAGCUUCGCAUGAAGCGGUGUGAAAAACUCUGGUGGUAUACGAUGGUUCCGCGUCUGAUUAGCUAGUUGGUGGGGUAAUGGCCUACCAAGGCAACGAUCAGUAGCCGGCCUGAGAGGGUGAACGGCCACAUUGGGACUGAGACACGGCCCAAACUCCUACGGGAGGCAGCAG